CCUCGGCCCGGAGUCGAUCCAGACCUCAACACUCCAGGAAUCGUUCCAUGUCCUGGCGGCGCGAGAGGCGGAGGCGGCCUGGCGGUGUGAGUCCAGCGGAGGCAGAGGCGGAGGCGGAGGCCGCUGCGGCUGCGGCUGGCGGAUUGGGCUCCUGGCGACGGCGUGACCUCCUUCUCGCCGGAAGUGUGCUAAUGCUUGAGUUCGUAUGGUGCGCCUUCUCGUCUUUGGCUUCCUAGAAGAAACUUCUUGUGGUUGAUUUUAACGUGUAAAUGAGAAGAUGCAUACAUGCAUGUAACAUGUGGUUCAAAUUUUAUUCUAAACAGUGUAGUUUGGAUGUAAUUUCUGAAUUAGAAGAUUUUCAUGGAUGAGUGGAAACACUUUGGUGCUCAUUUGGUGUCAGGACCGAAUAUUUGUUGGAGCCAGGAUUGGUCUCCUUUGUACAGCUGACUUCAGUUUUGUUUUU